rnacentral:rRNA from 1 species
GAUGAACGCUGGCGGCGUGCCUAACACAUGCAAGUCGAACGAAGCACCUUACCUGAUUCUUCGGAUGAAAGUUUGGUGACUGAGUGGCGGACGGGUGAGUAACGCGUGGGUAACCUGCCCUGUACAGGGGGAUAACAGCUGGAAACGGCUGCUAAUACCGCAUAAGCACACGAGGAGACAUCUCCUUGUGUGAAAAACUCCGGUGGUACAGGAUGGGCCCGCGUCUGAUUAGCUGGUUGGCAGGGUAACGGCCUACCAAGGCAACGAUCAGUAGCCGGUCUGAGAGGAUGAACGGCCACAUUGGAACUGAGACACGGUCCAAACUCCUACGGGAGGCAGCAGUGGGGAAUAUUGCACAAUGGGGGAAACCCUGAUGCAGCAACGCCGCGUGAGUGAAGAAGUAUUUCGGUAUGUAAAGCUCUAUCAGCAGGGAAGAUAAUGACGGUACCUGACUAAGAAGCUCCGGCUAAAUACGUG